AGGGAUUUAGCUCAGCGGCAUGAGCACCUGCCUGUCAAGCAUGAGGUCAUGAGUUCGAUCCCCGGUACCACUA
rnacentral:tRNA from 1 species